ensembl:snoRNA small nucleolar RNA SNORA5
UGCAGCUUUGUCAAAUUCAGUGCUCUCUUCUUAGUGGGGUGCACUGGCCAAAAUGGCUGCAACAUUAACUGUAGUUCAUGGGCCCCACGUUUCUUUGCCAUGGACCAUGGGGAUAAAUAUGUACUGCAAACAAAA